GACGAACGCUGGCGGCGUGCCUAAUACAUGCAAGUUGAGCGCUGAAGGUUGGUACUUGUACCAACUGGAUGAGCAGCGAACGGGUGAGUAACGCGUGGGGAAUCUGCCUUUGAGCGGGGGACAACAUUUGGAAACGAAUGCUAAUACCGCAUAAAAACUUUAAACACAAGUUUUAAGUUUGAAAGAUGCAAUUGCAUCACUCAAAGAUGAUCCCGCGUUGUAUUAGCUAGUUGGUGAGGUAAAGGCUCACCAAGGCGAUGAUACAUAGCCGACCUGAGAGGGUGAUCGGCCACAUUGGGACUGCGACACGGCCCAGCCUCCUACGGGAGGCAGCAGUAGGGAAUCUUCGGCGAUGGACGAAAGUCUGACCGAGCAACGCCGCGUGAGUGAAGAAGGUUUUCGGAUCGUAAAACUCUGUUGGUAGGGAAGAACGUUGGUGAGAGUGGAAAGCUCAUCAAGUGACGGUAACUACCCAGAAAGGGACGGCUAACUACGUG
rnacentral:rRNA from 1 species